AAACUAACUAUCAUCAAAAAAGAAUACUUCCAAAGUCUCAAGAUUUUGACUAAUUUGAAACUUAGCAAUAAUCUCAUACUUUCAAUAGAGGAUGGUUCCUUUGCCGAACUAAGCGCACUGACAAAAUUAAGAUUAGAUGAUAAUCGACUCACUUCUAUUGGAAAUGCAAUGUUUUCGUCCCUGAAAAACCUAAUUUAUCUGGGUCUUAGAAAUAAUCACAUCUCAUCAAUAGAGGAUGGUUCCUUUUCUUACCUAAGCGCAUUGACAGAAUUAUCAAUCACUCUUGAUGAAAAUUUUCUAUGCUGCUCUCGUCUUUAUUAUGAGAAUUUAAAUUAUAAAAGUGAACGUUGCACUUAUGAGGGGGAAAUCAAAGAAUACAACACUUUUGAGAAAAACAAAUGUGUUGCUUUGAAGCCUACGAGUUCUACUGCUCAAAGCACUCAAGCCACUAAGCCUAUAAUUUCACCUCCUCUUUCACUAACCAGGGCAGCGGCAGCAUAUAGAAUUUCUAAUUGUUAUGUAUUGCUAGCGCUAAGCUUAGUCCUUGCCUGGUUUUCUUAA